GACGAACGCUGGCGGCGUGCCUAAUACAUGCAAGUUGAGCGAUGAAGAUUGGUGCUUGCACCAAUUUGAAGAGCAGCGAACGGGUGAGUAACGCGUGGGGAAUCUGCCUUUGAGCGGGGGACAACAUUUGGAAACGAAUGCUAAUACCGCAUAAUAACUUUAAACAUAAGUUUUAAGUUUGAAAGAUGCAAUUGCAUCACUCAAAGAUGAUCCCGCGUUGUAUUAGCUAGUUGGUGAGGUAAAGGCUCACCAAGGCGAUGAUACAUAGCCGACCUGAGAGGGUGAUCGGCCACAUUGGGACUGAGACACGCCCCAAACUCCUACGGGAGGCAGCAGUAGGGAAUCUUCGGCGAUGGACGAAAGUCUGACCGAGCAACGCGGCGUGAGUGAAGAAGGUUUUCGGAUCGUAAAACUCUGUUGGUAGAGAAGAACGUUGGUGAGAGUGGAAAGCUCAUCAAGUGACGGUAACUACCCAGAAAGGGACGGCUAACUACGUG
rnacentral:rRNA from 1 species